AGUCGUAACAAGGUUUCCGUAGGUGAACCUGCGGAAGGAUCAUUACCACAAUUUAUCCUUUUUUUAUUCCGCGAACCUAUUUUAAAUAUCGUCGUUUUCAACGAUGAUGCCACCAUUUUUAAUACUCUAUAAAUUUUUCAUCAUAUAUAAAAAAUUAUGAUAAAACUUUUAGCGAUGGAUGUCUAGGUUCUC
rnacentral:misc_RNA from 1 species